CUGGGAUUCUUAGGGCCUGUCUAACUGUCCAGUGCAUCCCGGUUUGAAAGCUGUUGCGAGCAAUUCGGAUCCGUCUUUUUCCACGCGCAGACACUGAGCCCCGGAUUCCCAGAGUCUCCGGGUCGGCGCUCGCCGGGAUCCUGCAGCCAUGAGCGUGGGUUUCAUCGGCGCGGGCCAGCUGGCCUGUGCUCUGGCGCGGGGCUUCACGGCCGCGGGCGUCCUGUCGGCUCACAAGAUAAUAGCCAGCUCCCCGGAAAUGGACCUGCCCACGGUGUCUGCGCUCAGGAUGGGUGUGAAUCUGACCCGAAGCAAUAAGGACACGGUGCGGCACAGUGACGUCCUGUUCCUGGCUGUGAAGCCCCACAUCAUCCCC
rnacentral:lncRNA from 1 species